AGCAAAUACAAUCGCCGGUCGGGCCACAAGAAAAUCCAGUUUCUCUCCUCCUCGUUCUUUCUCCUUUCCACUUCACAGCUUUUGAAGACCAAAACGACGACGUGCAAUGUACCCCUGCGAUCGUGGCCGAAUCGAUUCAGAGGAAUCAAAACAACGACGACCUUACUAGUCCCAUCAUCGUCGGCUAGUCACAUUGAUCGCAUCCCCAACGAUUCGUGGCGUGGAAGCGAGUUGAUCGUUCGUUAAUUGCAUGGAUUAAUCCUGGCUUCAAUGUAUCACAGUCGCAGAUCAAUAUCCGGUUUAUGAGCCUCAAUCGUCCAGGCAUAAUCAUCCGAAGCGAUCAAGACCUGCCAUGGAAAUCGUUACCAAAUUUCGUUUGAAAUACCUGUAAUAAAACUUUGAACGUACGAUAACAAAUUAGGAAGCCAAAUCACCAGUAAGGCACAUGGAGCCUUCAAAGAGGUUCCAAAAAUUAGGUUAUUUGGACGAAAACCAUCACCUGAAUGGUUUUGUCCAAAAUCCAAAAUAUUACCAGAACGGGGAGGAAAGGGAAAUAAUUUUAUUUUUGGUGGACCUUUAGCGGCGGCCUUUUGAUCGCAGUAUAAUAUAGUUUUUGCGGCAAAAA